GUGUAUAAAACCGAGAGGAGCAACAACGAGUCGAUCAGUGUAACAACAUUUGGCGUUUACAAAGCUAAACUUGAGUGAUAACCAAAACAGAGUGACUAGCUGAUAUUAGCUAAAAAAUUGGAAAUAUUUUUCAAGUGUAGGAAAAAGUAUAAACAAAUUAAAACAACAAAAUGCCUUGCCCAUGUGGAAGCGGUUGCAAAUGCGGUUCGGAGCCUAAGACUGGCAAUUGCGGUUGCGGUGCGGCGUGUAAAUGCUGUCCCUGUGGAAGUGCUUGCAAAUGCGGCUCACAAUC